UACGGAGGGGGCUAGCGUUGUUCGGAAUUACUGGGCGUAAAGCGCACGUAGGCGGCUUUGUAAGUUAGAGGUGAAAGCCCAGGGCUUAACCCUGGAAUUGCCUUUAAGACUGCAUCGCUAGAAUCGUGGAGAGGUGAGUGGAAUUCCGAGUGUAGAGGUGAAAUUCGUAGAUAUCAGGAGGAACACCGGUGGCGAAAGCGGCUCACUGGCCCGAUACUGACGCUCAUGUUCGAAAGCGUGGGGAGCAAACAGG
rnacentral:rRNA from 1 species